rnacentral:lncRNA from 1 species
AAAAAAAAAGAUAUACUUUCAAGCCAUACAUUGGGCAGCUUCUCCAGGUCAUCCACCCCUCUCAUCGUGAUUUCUGUUCACCAAAAGGUUAUCCCCAUUGCAGAAAUUACAUCACAAACUUCUAUGAGUUUCACAGAUAUAUACACUUGCUCAACUUAUUCAUGGAAUAGAGUAAUAUAGACGUAAUUUUCAUUUUCCUCUGCAAUUGGAGUUCCCUACAUUGUGGUAAAAAUGCUAAUAUCAAAUUAUAUAGAAAAGUUUUGUGUACUGAAAUAUUUGGGUUGCAAAAAGAAAAAGCGUACGAAAGAUAGAAGGCAGUUUGAAUGCACAAAGUGCAAAUGAUAGACAGCUUUAGUGCCUUAGCAUUGUGAUAUGCCAUACACAUGAAUUCUAUUUCGACAAAAUCAAGCAUAUACGUGCAAUAUUUUUAAGUAUUAACUCACUAUGGUUCCAGUUGUACCUUCCGAGUUGAUCUUAUUGUUGCCAGUAGCUCGAAAAAAACAUGUAUUUCUGGUGAUCUAGCUGAAAAAUUUCUCUCCUUGACAGUAGAAGACAUAUUUGGCACAACCUAUGUCAAGGUUUCCUUUAUUUAUACGUAUCAACAUACUUUAUACAUGUUUGUUUCGCUAUUUCUGCCACAGUUGUGCAGCCAGUUGAAUCAUUCCUACCAUGUAAACGCCUAUAAAUAUUUAUACUAACUUUUUCUCAUAAGAUAUUUAAAUCAUACAAUUUUUUCUUUUUGUUUUCAGCACCAGCUACUAUGCGUUAAUGAUAUUUAAAUCAUCAAAUUUUUUCUUUUUGUUUUCAGCACCAGCUACUAUGCGUUAAUCAUGUACAACAGAUAUAGUCGAAUAGACUAUUCUGCAUUUUGCUGAGGAAGUCAUCCAGAUAAACUCUAACAGUUCUAUCCUACAUAGAAAAGGAACAUGUUUUCCCGUCAAGCAUUAACUAGAGAAACGCUAAAAAGGUGAAGCCGCUCAUCACAAGCAAGGUGGAGAUAGUGCCAUCAGUUAUUGAAUCUGAAUCUUCACACCAACAAAAAAGUUUAUAAAAGGUUAAGUCAAUUAAUCAUCCUUUAAUUUGUUCCAAUGCAAAGGGUAGUCCAUCAGAUUUAUGUAUCGUACAUGCAAACAUGCAUCUACACUUGAAAGACAAGCACUACAAUUUAGUUACGUUUGGUCGGAAUAAGUUUGUUUCCUCAUUUUUUCAAAUUUUAUAUGUUAUUGAUUUUUCCAAUCUAUCUCAAAUGAUGUCCUCUUAUUUCACACGCUAAUUAGUCGAGAAUGUAGAUUAAUUAAUAACUCCCUCAUUCCCUUUUGUUUGUUGGUACAUUGGUAAGCAACAUCCCAUUCUAUGUCAUAUUAGUUUCCUAUAUGUUUCUCCAGUAAAUUCAAUGGAAAAAUCACUCUUACGAUUUUCAUUUUCUAUCAUUUCGGUGAAAAUAUGAUUAUUUUUUUAUCACAACAACUAUUCUUCUGACUAACCUUAAUUCUACAAAAUCAAAUCAAGAAAUUAUAGGUUUUCCCCAUUUUGAUUCGAUUUUCGAUUUACUGACUAUGAAUUUCUUAUUUGUGUAGAGACUGUAACACUAAAUUCCUUAUAGGGUGAGUUCACAAUUUUUCGAUCUACAUGAGUUACAUUCUGCUACCACAACAACUAUUCUUCUGUUUUUCUCUUCAACACCCAUCCUUUUAUCUAACUCUGUUGAAGCUUAAUGGAGAUAAAAACAAACAACAAACUACCUUAAGUUGAUGACAUGAUGGUUAACCUUAAAAUGCACAUGUCUCCUUUUCUGAAAAUUGGCAUGGACAAACACGAAUCAGUAGGCAAGUUGCUAAAUUAGUUUUUAGCAUUGAUGUUAUCAUAAACAAAGUCGCGUGAGAUCAUAUGAAUGAAUUGUUGGUGUUCUGUUGUAAUAGGAAAUUCUACUUUAAAGUUUACAGACUAGCUUUCUGUUACAUAUGAAUAACAAGGCUCAAUCGGACAUAGAAGACGGUCUCCAUGUUCUAAGGUAUGAAACUUACAUUUAAUAUGUCUCUCAUAUUUCUCGAUUUUGGUGUCUCUGCAUUAUGAGAUAAUAUAAUGUAUCACAUGAAAAUUGACGAGGGUCAUAGAUGUCUAGCAUGUAUUAUUUGCAUCAGAUGUUUUAUGUUGAGCUUUAGUGGUGGAGUAGCAGUUCUAUUCUGAAUUUAUUGCCUUUAAGCCUUCAUGUUCUGGAAAUCUGUAGAUCAGGUGAACCUCAAUAGGGAUCCUCUCUUUUCCCGUGACACAUUUCUUUUUUUGAGGCAGUCUCUUUUUUUCAAUCUGACCUUUAUAUCUACUGAUUGUUGAAUAAAAAAAAACAGAAAAAUAUCUAUUGAUUGUGUUCGCCAUGUCCAGUAGUUUAACAUUUUUAGAGCUUCGCUUUUAUGCACUCUAAGCUAACCAAAUAUUAUGUGUUAAUUACUGCCACCGUCUUAUUGAUUUAGUGGGACCAUUCUUCGUUUUGCUUAUGUGAUUAUCCUAAUUUCUCACAUUUGUUUACUUUUUCACCAUAUUUUUGUUGCUACUUUUAUUUUGGUCUCAUGUUUUUCAUAUGCAUUAGUUAGGAUCUGGUGAUUUUUACUGAUGAUAUUCUAGCUUUCUUGGGAUGAGGUUCAUUAUUUUGACUGUAGUUGAUCAAUAUUUUCUGUUAGUAGAAUUCAAAUAUAUUACUAAGUUGAGUUGUAAAUUGGCGUUAUGGAACUACUGAAUAUAUUCCUGCGGAAAUAUGCUUGCUCUUCAAUAUAUAUUUUAGGAAUAUACUAAGAUAUAUGAGAUACAAAUUUAUUACAAAUACCUAAAACUCUACGCAAGAACACUAGCCAAAUAUCAAUAUUCAUGCUUUCAGUAAUAGAAAUCGCUAUAUCUAGACAACAAGACACACUUCUCUGUUACAACUACAGUUGUUUGGCUCUGCAAUUAGUUUCAACAAACCUGCACAUUAACUUAAGAUGCUAUCUUCUAAUCGCUUAAAUAUCUCUCAAAUUAGUAGCUCUUGCCACUUGAUUCCCCCAAAAAAAAACCAUUGUUGAUGCACCACUUCGACAAUGUGAUGGGAGUGCAGCAAACGAAAUCAUUAUCAAAGCUGGAUAGUCUAUAGGCUAGGCAAGUUCUUAAGUAAUUGAGUCUAUUCUCUAAAUUCGGGUCCCUUUGGAGGAUGUGGAGUAGGCCGGGAAAGAUGUAACAACAUUAUAUACGGAAGAGACCUAUAGGUAGAAAACAAUAUAUUCGACAAGUCUUAGUUUCUUUAAUCAUCUCACCAAUACAUUUGCCUUAUCAUGUGACCAAGGAAAAUAUAGCAAAUAUUUCCUUGUAAGAUAAUACUGCCAUAACAUGAUUACACAUAAUAAGAGUCUCACUAUAAUAGCAUCAUGCAACUAUAUACUUUUUAGAUUUUGUAUUAUGGUUAUGAUUAUUUACAUUUAUCUUAUGUUUUACAUAUCUAACCCCAUCAGGUGUUUGAAUAAGUCCAUCUGUUAAAAGGUUAAAAUUUCUUUUGCAUUGUUGAAACUUUAGCAGAAUUUUUUUAAUUUUAUAUUACUUUUAAGUUCUUCCACAUUGGUUCCCUUAAGUUAAAUUUAGUUAUUUUUACAAUUAAAAAAUUCAUAUUGUGCUUGCUAUCACUAAAUAGAUUGAGCGUCCGACAAACAAAAAAGAAGAAAUGAAGAAGAAUAUGGAAAACUGAUCUUGGCUAAAGGUUACUAACAGGACAAGCUUUACAAAGAGUUUAAUGGUAAGUUGUUUCUAGCAUGCACAAGGAAUCGUCUAUAUGGUUUUAUUUUUUACUCUCUAUAAAUAUGAAGGUGUUAUGUAGUGGCUAAAGAAUGAUUUACUUUUGAUGAUUUAUUGCCGCAUCUCUUUAUAAUAUAUUAGUUGCCUCUAUAUUUAAUGAAAACUCAUUAGAUGUUAAAGUAUUUGUUAGAACAUAAAACAAGUGAACAUUAACUCCUACAGUAGUGUUAUUUUUCGAGUCUUCUAGGCUAUUUCAUAUGUCUUUAAAAUGUUCCCUAAGUUCCAACAGUUGUAAGAUAUUCGAUCUGAUGAAUAAGAAAAGGAAAAUAGAGAUUUUAAUGCAUUUUAUUCCUAAAAGAAGUUCCUUCUUUCAACUGUGACCGUCUCUUCAAGUACUAUUGACAGAAAGGACAAGGUGAGACAAGUGACUAUAUUUGAUCUCAUGAUAAAUGAGAAGAACUAACAAUGAAAUUCAUUGUAGAUGGUGUAUUUUUUAAACAAAGAAUGUAGGUAAAGUGACAUACUGAUGAUAUGAAAACAUUUACUAAUUAAGUAUGACAAAAUGAGGAUAUUAAUUUUAACAUGAUCAAAAUGUAAGACACUAUAAAUGAGCAAAAUCAACUCCUAAUUUCCAAUUAGUAGGAAGAUUCCUUGAAAGAUAUUUCAAGGGUUUGGCGACUGCUUAAAAUACCCAAGUUAUAAUAUAUUAGGGGAAGAAGUACUUUCUCCUUACCUCCUACAACUCAAAGUUACUUUUCAGUAUACUUCAUAUUUUCUAUUUUUUAAGAAAUUAAAGUUCCUUUUAUUAUAAAGUUUCUACAGAAGAGAAUCAAGUAUAAAUUGUGUUCUCUGCUUUUUGAUUGUUAUGACAUUUUCAAUUUGAAUAAUUUCACAAGUAAGUUGCCAAAGAUAUUUACACAAAUGGAUCUGUGAUUGUGAUUUCUGUGAAAUGCAUUUGCACUAUUUAUUUAAUGAGACAUUUACCGAGUCUUCUUCAUAGUAGUAUUUGAUUUCAGUAAUGUGAACACAAUAUUAAGGAAUAUGAUAAGUUUAUACUGUUACCAAUUAAGGUUUGCUUAAUUUUGCGUCAGAUUCUUUGUCAAAAUCUUAGCCUGUGACAGCAAUGCAGGGAGGACUUUUGAAUGGAUGGAUUUUUCUUUGCAUCAACUAUUGAAGAUUUAUUUAGUUUUCACGUUCCUCUUUAUUUAACUGGAACUACAGUGAUUACAAAAUUCCUUUUUUAUAUGUUGUUAUGUAUUAUGUAAUGACAAUUAAAAUGUUUUUGAUACAAGUGUAGAUGAAUAAUGACACGGUAGACAAAUCAA